rnacentral:rRNA from 1 species
UACGUAGGGCGCGAGCGUUGUCCGGAAUUAUUGGGCGUAAAGAGCUCGUAGGCGGCCUGUUGCGUCCGCUGUGAAAUCCCAGGGCUCAACCCUGGGCGUGCAGUGGAUACGGGCAGGCUGGAGGCAGGCAGGGGAGAACGGAAUUCCCGGUGUAGCAGUGAAAUGCGUAGAUAUCGGGAGGAACACCAGUGGCGAAGGCGGCCUUCUGGACCAGUACUGACGCUCAUGCACGAAAGCGUGGGGAGCAAACAGG